rnacentral:rRNA from 1 species
UACGUAGGGGGCUAGCGUUGUCCGGAUUUAUUGGGCGUAAAGAGCGUGUAGGCGGCCAGGUAGGUCCGUUGUGAAAACUCGAGGCUCAACCUCGAGACGUCGGCGGAAACCCUCUGGCUAGAGUCCGGAAGAGGAGAGUGGAAUUCCUGGUGUAGCGGUGGAAUGCGCAGAUAUCAGGAGGAACACCGGUGGCGAAGGCGGGUCUCUGGGCCGACAUUGACGCUGAGGAGCGAAAGCGUGGGGAGCGAACAGG